CCGAACGGGCAAGGAGCCGGGGUCGCCCGAUCGGACCCCGGACGUGAAGUCGACGAUGGUCGGUGGGCUGGUUUUGGUAAGCAGAACGGGCGAUUCGGGAUGAACCGGAAGCGGGGAGAAAGGGCCCGAGAUUGCGUCGACGCGGAUCCCGAAAAGGGCGUCGAUCCGUCGCGACAGCGGGACGGUGGUCAUGGAAGUCGAAAUCCGCUAAGAAGCGUGUAAAAACGUACCCGCCCAACGGAUCGGCCCCGAAAAUUGAUGGCGCUCGAACGCAACCCUCGAACCCCGCCGACGGAGGCUAGGGGAGGCCCCGUCGAGUAGGCGGACGCGCGGGUCGCUUCGACGCUCCCGCGCGAGCGGGGGCGGAGCGGCCCGUGGUGCAUCUUGGUGGUAGUAGCGAUCACCCAGGCGAGAACCCUGAGGGCCGAAGUGGAGAAGGGUUUCUCGAGAACGGCACUCGCUCGAGAGUUAGUCGAUCCUAAGCUGCCGGCGGCAGCCACGAAACGGUCGAUCGGGCGCGAGCCCGGCAGCCACGACCGGGCAGCGAAAGGGAAUUGGGAACCUCCUUCCCAAACCCGGAACCGGAACGAG
rnacentral:rRNA from 1 species